UACGGGGGGGGCAAGCGUUGUUCGGAAUUACUGGGCGUAAAGGGCUCGUAGGCGGCCAACUAAGUCAGACGUGAAAUCCCCAGGCUCAACCUGGGAACUGCGUCUGAUACUGGAUGGCUUGAAUUCGGGAGAGGGAUGCAGAAUUCCAGGUGUAGCGGUGAAAUGCGUAGAUAUCUGGAGGAAUACCGGUGGCGAAGGCGGCAUCCUGGACCGACAUUGACGCUGAUGCGCGAAAGCCAGGGGAGCAAACGGG
rnacentral:rRNA from 1 species